rnacentral:lncRNA from 1 species
UUUGGGUAAUGUCAUGUCAUUUUUCAUCACAAGGGGACAAUGGGCUCUCUCUGUUUACAAAAUAUGCUCAUAACUUUUUGUGUAUCAAGUGAAAAAGAUUUUAUAUGACACUCACAUGGUGGGAUGGCAAAUUUUCUGAAAUUAGAGUACUCUUUAUAUAUUUACUGCUUAAGAAUCUUUGAUGGGGCCCUCAUUCUUCAUCCUUCUGGUUUUUAUGCAGGCAUGGUCUCUAAAUUGAUAAUGCUUAAAAAUUAAAAAUAAAGAAAAAAUAAAAAUAGUGAUAAUGAAACUAUUAAAUUGUGAGAGAAAAUAAUUGUUAUUAAGGUGAUGAUACAACGUUCCGAAUUAUCACCCUUUAUUGUACACAAAACUGGAUAGUGUAGGAAUUCGUACACAAAACUGGAUAGUGUAGUAAAAGAUAAUUGUGUAGUCAUCUUUCUUGUAGUGAUUUCAACUUUAGGGAC